AUAUGGUAUAUAUUAAUAAGCAAGAUCUUUGUUAAAUAAAUCAUCAUUAUUUCUGCGAGUAUAAAUAAAUAUGAAAAAAAAAAUAUGUAUAUAUAUAUAUAUAAAUUAUGAUUUUUAUCAGGUAAUUCUCAUGGAAAAAGUACUAUAAAUUUAAAUUUCUUCUUCAUUGAAAUCUUUUGAAAUUCUGCUCCGAUAUACAUAGAUGCAUAGAAUGUUCUGGCUGUUGUUGAUUAUUCGCACGCUGUCCGGACUUCCAAAGCCACAUUCGACCCUGAAUGACCAAACGAAAGGAUGGGAUCUCUCUAGUUUGAAAGCCUGUGAUCAUAUUUUCAGUUUCGUGAUCAUAUAGAGGAUCAGUCUGUACAUCGCACGUUCUUUGAACUAAUUCCGUACUAUCUUUAGAAUUAACAUCUAAGUUCAGUUGUUCAAAAGCAGACGUAAAACUUUUCGAUUCUUUGCAAUUAAUGAAGCUGACCUAUCAUCGAAGAAGGCAAUUUGUCAAACUUAUCUGAAUUUAUAACUGAAAGAUGAGGAUUUUCGAUUGAUCGAACCUGUACUUCUUUGGAAGAAACGCUGCGACCAAGGUUACCGGCCAAACUCACUUCACUUUUCGUUCUGGAUAAAAAGUUACUCUCGUUCCAAGAAAAAUUGUCUACUGUUCGCGAAGAAAUAGAUGCGCGUUAAAAAUUUGUCAUAGCGUAGCAUUAACGUGUCGAAAUACCAUCGAAGUAGUCGUUUUCCUCGUUUUGCCAGUCCAUCGGACCUUACUUUGUACGCCGUUCGAUUAUGAAACCCUACAUUUCUUCCUAUCCAAAUGGACCAAGAUGGUUUCUCACUAUUUUCUCGCUAAAUGUUCUUCUUAACAGGGUCCAUAACGCAAUUCUACUGUUUUUUCUUCUUUUUUAUAUUCAACUUCGAGGAAUGAUUAAUCGACCAACAAAAUCGCUCAAAGAUCUUUCCUUUGUUUUAGAAAACCGAAUGAAAUUAGAAACGCGAUCCAUAUCUAUUUAUUGUAAUUAUUUAUGCGAAUAUUAAUUAAUCGCACCUACCUAGAUCAGCAAAACUUUAUAUUUUGUCGAUAAUGUAGCUUGCGAACGUUAUCAUCAUUGAUUGUUCAUCACCUUUCGCUUGAGGUGUGUGUGUGUGUGUGUGUGCGUAUGUGACUUCAGCGCGCAAGUGAACUACAAACGUAAGCUGGAACACACUGUCUCUACCGUAUCUCUAGCGUAUCAAUGUAUAAACUUGUGUAAUUUAUAUCUUUUUUAAGUGCAACAUAACAAUCGGGUUAGUGUGAAUUAGUGUUAGUAACUCAUACCUUUCACCCGCUCGUAUUUAUAUCCUUAUUUGAUGAUAUCGUGCCUGUUACAGUGAUUCAUGUGCGAUACGAUGCAGCGUCGGUAUGCAUUUAUUUUACGAUAUAAAUGCAUAAUGAAUAAUAAAUGUAAUUGUUACAUGCAAUAACUAAUCUAUAAAUCUGCAACAAAAAAAGAAAUAAGAUUAUGUCGAAUAUUUAUACAUCGAAAAUUAUUUUAUAUAAAAUAAAUAUAUAUAUGCA